rnacentral:rRNA from 1 species
AUACGUAGGUGGCAAGCGUUGUCCGGAAUUAUUGGGCGUAAAGCGCGCGCAGGUGGUUCCUUAAGUCUGAUGUGAAAGCCCCCGGCUCAACCGGGGAGGGUCAUUGGGAACUGGGGGACUUGAGUGCAGAAGAGGAUAGUGGAAUUCCAAGUGUAGCGGUGAAAUGCGUAGAGAUUUGGAGGAACACCAGUGGCGAAGGCGACUGUCUGGUCUUUAACUGACACUGAGGCGCGAAAGCGUGGGGAGCAAACAGGAUUAGAUACCCUGGUAGUCCACGCCGUAAACGAUGAGUGCUAAGUGUUGGGGGGUUUCCGCCCCUCAGUGCUGCAGCUAACGCAUUAAGCACUCCGCCUGGGGAGUACGGUCGCAAGACUGAAACUCAAAGGAAUUGACGGGG